GGAAGCAAGGACCACGCCUCUGCUGGGAGCCUGGUGCGGCAGCAGACACUCGGCAAUACCGCGCAGUCCCUGGGCUUGGUCAGAUUUCCUGUGCCACCUGGACCCUCCGUGCAUAGUGGGAAGUAAGAUCAAAAGCAGAGAGAUGGAGAAAAAGCUGUGUCAGCAUUGGAGUUCUAAUCUGGACACUCAGAGAAUGGUCCAUAAACAAGCAGCAUCAGCGGCACAUGGGAGUAUAUUGGAAAUGCAGAAUCUUGGAAGCUGCCCCAGACCUGCUGAAUCAGACCCUGCAUUGUAGGGAGAAGAAGGAGCUUCCCCGGAGCAUUCAAUGCCACAUAGAACAGCAAUCAGCAAUGUGUGGCCACAGUACAGUCUACCGUCAAGCACACAGAAUAUCUGGGCUUGGGGCUGCUGCUAAAGCCAAGUGUUUUCUCUGCAAACUUCAGUUUUUGUAGCUGUGAGAUGGCGAUAAAAAGAUAUUCUUAGUAGCUACUAUGCGCACUCACAUUCCAGACAUGGAAGAUUUGGCUCUAAACAGAGCAGAUCAGAAUCCCUGCCCUUGUGGAGCUUAGAGUCUAGUGUCAGAAGACAGGUCAUGGGAUAACUUAAUAAAGUAGGUGAUGCUGAGAGCUCAGUGAGGUGGAGCAAAAAGGGAGGACCAGAUGGGAGGUGUGAAGUCUCAGAUGAGGUGGCUGCAUUGCUAAGGUGGUAUUGAGUGGCAUGGAUCUGCUCACUGGCUUGUCCCCAUGGCUUGCUCAGCUUGCUUUCUUACACAAGCCAAGUGUCACCUGCUCAGGGGCUGUACCAUCCCCAGUGGCCUGGGUCCUCACAUCAACCAAGACAAUACCCUACAGACUUGCCUACAGGUCAGUGUGAUGGAGGCAUUUUUUUUUUUUUUCCGGUUAAGGUUCUCUUCCCAGAUAACUCUAGUUUCUGAUGGAUUGAUAAAAAAGCAACCAGGACAACCAGAUUCUGCUCCUGGUUUGGAUUGUUUUCCUGGUAAGGUGGCAUUGAGGAGGAGGAAGCAGGAGAGGAUCUGCUGAUUCCCUUUGGAUGGGCACCUUUGGGUGAAUUCUGGGAGAAGGUUGGUGGGCAGGCGAACUGUGUACAGAGCACACCAGUGAAAAAGUAGCUGUCCCAGACCUUGUUGAGUUCUCCUUCCAACCCAGUCUGAGAAGUGUUAGAAUUUUUCUGUAGGAUCUGAAGGUUCUGGAGACAGACGCGAUUGGGAGAGGGAAAAGGGUCAGUGUGAGCAGCAGUGGAGAUUAAGCACACUGUUGAACUUUUACAUCUAUUUCUUUGGACUGCACCGUUUGUGGGGGUUGAGAAAAUGGUGGGAAGGCUAGCAUUCUCCUUCUCCAGCCAUCUCAAAGCAACACCCCAGGGGCUAGGAACUGAAGUACUUUUCUCGUCAAACGCUCACCCUCCUCUGGUGCCCCCUGUGGGAGGAUUCUGCAAGCAGCAGCCUCUGUUUCACACAGCUCAGCCGGAUGCAGUAGGUUUGAGCCAAAGGGUUCAAAUUAGUACGAAAGUGGGCAGCUCCAAGUCUUCAUAAAGAUAUAAAUUUAGAUUCUCAGUGACCAGAUGCCUCACUGUUCAACGCGUAGGAAACAACAGAUGGAUCAAAAAUUCCAAAGUUAAAAAUAAAACCAUAAAAUAAUUAGAAUAAAAUAUGAAUGAAUUUUUUAAAAGAUUAAUGGGCCAGGCAUGGUGGCACACCUCUGUAAUUCCAGCACUCUUGAGGCAGAGGCAAGGGGGCCAUGAGUUCAAGGCCUGCCUGGUUGACAUGUUGAGAUCCUGUCUUGAUAAAACAAAAGAAAACAAAUAUGUCAAAAUAUUCACAAGGGAGGUUUUCUAGGUCAGUGCCAAGCAGGUGAAUCAUAGAUAUGACUAUCAAAAAUUAAAAAAAAAGAAAAAAGAAGAGGCCAGGCUCUGGUUUCAGCAUCCAGUGUUGGGGGUGGGGAAGUCUACACAGUAAUAGGUACUAGGAACGAAAUCCAAGCAAGUGGUAAACUAUUUUUAAAGCAUGCAACACAAAGAGCCACGUCUGCAAUACAAAAUUAGUUCUGACAAGGACAAUGACUACAAGCCACAGACCAUGAACUGGAAGUUUCGAAAGAAACAGAAACAGCCGGAAAGCAUGUGGGAAUGAUACAGGCAGCUGUUCUCAGUACUCAAGUGUCUUCACACUUCCUGUGCCUUCGGCUAGAGGCAUCUUCCCCCAGGCAACAAAGUAGCUGCUCUUCACUUCCUUCAGCUCAGCAGCCCUGGAGGAACUAAGUGCUAUCUUUGGGAGGUGGUAGAGCCUUUGAUAGGCUUGGCCUUGCAGGAAGUCCUCAGGGGCAUGUAAGGAGAG